CUCCUUACCUGGCAGGGGAGCUAUCAUGAUCACGAAGGUGGCUUUUCCAGGGCGAGCCUCACCCACUGCACUCCGAGUGUGCUGGCCUUUGCGAUCUCCCCAAGUGCCGGAAACUCAACCGCAUCAUUUGUGGUAGUGGAGGACUGUGCUGGCACUCUCCCCUG